AUGGCGCCCCUCAGAACCACUGUGUCGCUGUGGAGCCUCCUGAGGGGUUCUGCAGGUGUGGAAAGGGUCUGUUUCUGGGCUCGAAUCCAGCCCUGGCAUGGUGGCCUGCUCCAACCGCUACCUUGCUCUUUCGAGGUGGGGCUGCCACGCUGCUGGUCAGCUCCGAGGCCGCAGAAUCUGGUAGCCCAGAUACCAAGAAACCUACAUUUAUGGAUGAAGAAGUUCAAAGCAUACUCAUGAAAAUGACAGGCUUGAACUUGCAGAAGACUUUUAAACCAGCUGUACAAGAACUGAAGCCACCAACCUAUAAGCUAAUAACUCAGGCACAAUUGGAAGAGGCUACAAGACAGGCAGUUGAGGCAGCUAAAGUACGAUUAAAAAUGCCACCGGUUCUGGAAGAGCGAGUACCAAUAAAUGAUGUGUUAGCUGAAGAUACGAUUUUGGAAGGAACAGAAACAACCAAAUAUAUGUUUACUGAUAUAUCAUAUAGCAUACCACACCGGGAGCGUUUUAUUGUCAUUAGAGAACCAAGUGGCACACUACGCAAAGCCUCUUGGGAAGAACGGGACCGGAUGAUGCAAGUUUAUUUCCCAAAAGAAGGUCGUAAAGUUUUGACACCAAUAAUUUUCAAGGAGGAAAAUCUUAGGACUAUGUAUAGCCAGGACAGGCAUGCUGAUGUCCUCAAUCUCUGCUUUGCCCAGUUUGAGCCAGAUUCCGCUGAGUAUAUCAAGGUUCAUCACGAGACCUAUGGAAGAUAUAGAUAAACACGGAAAAUAUGACCUUUUACGUUCAACAAGAUACUUUGGUGGAAUGGUGUGGUAUUUUGUAAAUAAUAAAAAGAUUGAUGGUUUGCUGAUUGACCAGAUUCAGAGAGAUUUAAUCGAUGACGCAACCAGCUUGGUCCAGCUGUAUCACAUACUCCAUCCAGACGGCCAGUCGGCUCGAGAGGACAAGGAUCAGGCUGCUGAGGGAAUAAAUUUAAUCAAGGUCUUUGCAAAAACAGAAGCACAGAAGGGAGCCUAUGUAGAACUAACACUGCAAACUUAUCAAGAAGCACUCAGUCGCCAUUCUGCAGCUUCCUAAAAAUAUUUUUAAAAUACAUUUAUUUUACUAAAUACUGACUACAUUUCUCUGUUAAUAUUGAGCUAAACGUUAAAAAAUGACCGGAUUAAAAGGUAUCAAUUUGUAGUUCUCCCUACAAAGCAAAAAUUGUUACCCUAUUCACUUUUCUAGGCUACAAGGGUAUUUGAGUGCCUGGUUAUGAAUUUCUUGAAUCAUGUUAGAUGAGUGUACAGUUAAAAAGUAUGGUUUUUUUUGUGUGUGUGUUACCAAAUAAGGUAAAUGGUAAUUUAGACAGACCCCAGCUUAAUGAGGUCAGAGGAACAGAGGUUUCACAUCCUGACUCCAGAAAUGGGUAGCUGCUAGAUAAAAUUGGAGCAAGACCUGUGGAAUGAUGCAAUGAGGUCAAGAAAAAGAGUUUAGAGAAUUACAGCAUGGAUGUUCAGCUCUAAGAAAAAUGUGAUUGACAGCAUUUGAAAAUGCAGAUUUAGUUAUGCAAAGAAAAGAGAGUGGGGCUGAUCCCUAGGCAAGGUGUAGUUUCGGCUCAGCCUUCUA